rnacentral:rRNA from 1 species
AACGAACGCUGGCGGCAUGCCUAACACAUGCAAGUCGAACGAGACCUUCGGGUCUAGUGGCGCACGGGUGCGUAACGCGUGGGAACCUGCCCUUAGGUUCGGAAUAACUCCCCGAAAGGGGUGCUAAUACCGGAUAAUGUCUUCGGACCUAAGAUUUAUCGCCUUUGGGUGGGCCCGCGUUGGAUUAGCUGGUUGGUAGGGUAAAAGCCUACCAAGGCGACGAUGCAUAGCUGGUCUGAGAGGAUGAUCGGCCACACUGGGACUGAGACACGGCCCAGACUCCUACGGGAGGCAGCAGUGGGGAAUAUUGGACAAUGAGCGAAAGCCUGAUCCAGCAAUGCGGCGUGAGUGAUGAAGGCCUUAGGGUUGUAAAGCUCUUUUACCCGGGAUGAUAAUGACAGUACCGGGAGAAUAAGCUCCGGCUAACUCCGUG